AUUACUCAUCCAAAUCCUUUGGAUGGACUUGAGCUUGCAUUAGCUGGCUUGAAAUGAAUUGGGUAAACAUCUACCAUGUCUAUCGUCAUAUUUAUUUGCGAUAUUCUAACUGGUAGUGAGUAGUCCCUUAAUAAUUUUUAA
rnacentral:misc_RNA from 1 species